rnacentral:rRNA from 1 species
AGCAGCCGCGGUAAUUCCAGCUCCAAUAGCGUAUAUUAAAGUUGUUGCAGUUAAAAAGCUCGUAGUUGAAUUUCGGGGUCAGUAGAUUGGUCGUGCCACUGGUAUGUACUGGUCUUACUGGCCCCUCCUUCCUGAUGAACCGUAAUGCCAUUAAUUUGGUGUUGCGGGGAGACUGGACUGUUACUUUGAAAAAAUUAGAGUGUUUAAAGCAGGCUAACGCUUGAAUACAUUAGCAUGGAAUAAUGAAAUAGGACGUUCGAUCUUAUUUUGUUGGUUUCUAAGAUUGACGUAAUGAUUAAUAGGGAUAGUUGGGGGCAUUAGUAUUCAAUUGUCAGAGGUGAAAUUCUUGGAUUUAUUGAAGACUAACUACUGCGAAAGCAUUUGCCAAGGAUGUUUUCAUUAAUCAAGAACGAAAGUUAGGGGAUCGAAGACGAUCAGAUACCGUCGUAGUCUUAACCAUAAACUAUGCCGACUAGGGAUCGGAUGAUGUUAAUUUUUUAAUGACUCAUUCGGCGCCUUA